UGUAAUGUCGGUCAGGCGUGAUGGGUAAUACGGAGGGGUGAAUCGGUAUCAGGAUUUACUGGGGUUAAAGGGUGUGGAGGCGGGCCGUUAAGUCAGUGGUGAAAUCUCUUGGCGCAACUCAGAAACUGCCAUUGAUACUAUUGGUGUUGAAUAGUGUGGAGGUGGGCGGAACGGGUCAUGUAGCGGUGAAAUGCUUAGAGAUGACCCGGAACACCGAUUGCGAAGGCAGCCCACUACGCAAUGAUUGACGCUGAGGCACGAAAGCGUGGGGAUCAAACAGGAUUAGAUACCCCUGUAGUC
rnacentral:rRNA from 1 species